UACGUAGGGUGCGAGCGUUGUCCGGAAUUAUUGGGCGUAAAGAGCUUGUAGGCGGUUUGUCGCGUCUGCUGUGAAAACCCGGGGCUCAACCCCGGACUUGCAGUGGGUACGGGCAGACUAGAGUGUGGUAGGGGAGACUGGAAUUCCUGGUGUAGCGGUGAAAUGCGCAGAUAUCAGGAGGAACACCGAUGGCGAAGGCAGGUCUCUGGGCCACUACUGACGCUGAGAAGCGAAAGCAUGGGGAGCGAACAGG
rnacentral:rRNA from 1 species